AGUGAACGCUGGCGGUAGGCCUAACACAUGCAAGUCGAACGGCAGCACAGUAAGAGCUUGCUCUUACGGGUGGCGAGUGGCGGACGGGUGAGGAAUACAUCGGAAUCUACUUUUUCGUGGGGGAUAACGUAGGGAAACUUACGCUAAUACCGCAUACGACCUACGGGUGAAAGCAGGGGAUCUUCGGAUCUUGCGCGAUUGUAUGAGCCGAUGUCGGAUUAGCUAGUUGGCGGGGUAAAGGCCCACCAAGGCGACGAUCCGUAGCUGGUCUGAGAGGAUGAUCAGCCACACUGGAACUGAGACACGGUCCAGACUCCUACGGGAGGCAGCAGUGGGGAAUAUUGGACAAUGGGCGCAAGCCUGAUCCAGCCAUACCGCGUGGGUGAAGAAGGCCUUCGGGUUGUAAAGCCCUUUUGUUGGGAAAGAAAAGCAGCAGGUUAAUACCCCGCUGUUCUGACGGUACCCAAAGAAUAAGCACCGGCUAACUUCGUG
rnacentral:rRNA from 1 species